ensembl:miRNA
UCUGAGUAUUGGGUUGGCCAAAAAAUUCAUUCAGAUUUUCCUGUAAGAUAUUAUGGAAAAACCUGAACAAACUUUUUGGCCAACCCAAUGU